CUCCAGCGACGAGCUCGCACCUCACCGUGGUGCUGGAGUCUAGUAGCCAUCACGGCGAAGCUAAGACGAGC
rnacentral:ribozyme from 1 species